CACGUAGGGGCCAAGCGUUGUCCGGAUUCAUUGGGCGUAAAGAGCUCGUAGGCGGUUCAGUUAGUCGGGUGUGAAAUCUCCGGGCUCAACCCGGAGGGGCCACCCGAUACUGCUGUGACUCGAGUCCGGGUAGGGGAGUGGGGAAUUCCUGGUGUAGCGGUGAAAUGCGCAGAUAUCAGGAGGAACACCGGUGGCGAAGGCGCCACUCGUGGGCCGGUACUGACGCUGGAGGAGCGAAAGCGUGGGUAGCAAACAGG
rnacentral:rRNA from 1 species